CUUGAGACAUCACCAUGAACAUGUCAAGUGAUUUUUGCUGGGCAGAGAAGGGUCAGAUGAGCCAUCUUGCCAUUAAGUUGGUGAACUUCUUACGCUUUCGAAAAGCAUAAAUAGAACUGAUGAUAUGUCGAUCAAUUUCCCGGAAUGUUGCUGUAGGGGGGACUAAAGCUUGAUUGUGUAGCAUGUUGUUUCUUUGCUUCCAGAUGUUGUAAAACAAUGCUUGAACUACCAUCAUACGCAGGUGUGAUGGCGCAGCAUUAGAAGACGACGAUGUCCACAGCACGAGCUCGGGCCAGUUGGUGAAGACUGGGACCGUGUCUCUGAAUCUGCGGCGAGAUUCAGACCAAAGGACCUCAGCAUACGGACAAGAGAGCAUUAGAUGGUCCCUAGUUUCCGGCUGAGUAGAACAGA
rnacentral:lncRNA from 1 species